rnacentral:lncRNA from 1 species
CGACCCGACAACUUUCAUCGGUUAUCCCUCAGCCCUCAGCACAGGGCUCAGCGGUUAGAACAGUGCUUGACGCAUGGCGAGCGCUAGCAAGUACUAGUAUUAGUAAUAUCGGUUAAUAUAAAUCGGAAAGAUAGUUGAAUAGUGGCAGGCAAAGAGUUCAGAGGAUCCGAGCAGAAUUCGGGAGAUUUACUCUCGAGUGGCUUGGGGUGGGGGCGGAUUGGAAAAGGAGGUUUCCUUGGCCUCCGCGGAGAUGGAGCGACUCAGCAGAACUUCCACUGUGGUGUAAAAUCGGGGUUUGACACCUGCGUCUGUUCAAAUCCACAGGCUCCUCCUGCUCCCUCUCAGGCACCUGAAGUGCAGCCCCUUCUUGAGAAAGUCACUUAGGCUUGUGCGAAAACGUGUGGGUGUGUGAGCGUGUUGGGCAGGGGGGAGAAACAGCCUACGAGGAUUCCCGUCUCCAAGCUACUUUUCCUAAGGACGCUGAAUUCGUUAUAGUAACUCUUGGAAGAGUUAGGAGAUGCUUAUCGGGAGGGAUUACUAUCUGCCUUCCAAUUGGAGCAGGAUUUGGAGAUGGCCAAGACGGGGGGGGGAAAUUGAAGCAACGAGAAAAGCUUCAUCAGCGAUUAUCCUGGGGUUAAUAAUGAUAACAGUAAUAACACAGAGCUGGAGGGGGAGUUGGUACUGGGGGGUGUUUGGGGUGGGGGGGCGCGUAUCUGUGUCUGUGUGUGUGCCUUGAGCGGAGGGGUUUCUCUCCGGGUCACCAUCGGGCUCCCUAAGGACAUUUCCUGACUCGUCACAUCUUUUAUGCAGCCAUUAACGAGGCCUUUCCUUAAGAAUAGGGCUUUAAACGAGGCAUCGGCGUGACUGUUUUUGCACGGGUGCCGUGAGCUCUCUUCUGCCGGCGUGCAAGCCCCAAUGGCACAACGAGGCGAUCGGAGGGCGUGGCUGUCCUCCCGGUCACCAACGAAGCGGGACUGCCCCAAGCCCACCCCUGGGCUCCCUCUCCUUCUCCCCCUCCUCCUCCUCCUCCGGCCGGGCCCGCAGACUUCAGAGCCGCCCCCCUCCCUCCCCGGACAACCCCGACGUCUGUUUCGGUGCCGUCCCCCUCCCUUCGGGGCAUCCUCCCGACGACGAACCGAGCGGGACCCCCCCCCCCCGCCCCCCUCCCUUCCCUCUCCGGGUCGCCCGACGCUUGGGAACUUCCUUGGAAGUUGGGAAUCUCCGACUCCGAAAGAUCACCCCUUGUUUGGAGAGAGGGGUGGGGGGAGGAAAGCGCGGUUCGACGGACUCGAAUGUUUACACUGGUUUUCAGAAAAAAACAAAAUUUACACCCCCCCCCCCAUCCCUCCAACAUCUCAUCCUCCUCGGGGUUUUAUCCCAAACUGUGUAGCUGGUUGGGUUGUUUUUUUUUUCCCCUUUAAACUUUUUAGAACGAAUUACCCCAAGAGCUGUGCGGGUCGCAAACGCAAGUUGCUUUUUUUUUUUUUAAUUUAUAGCGAGUUGUGUGUGUGCGUGUUAUUUUUUUUUUUUUUCUUCCCACCGCCCCUUACUGGUUUGCGAACUUUCUGUAAAGGGAAAAAAAAAAACAACUCGGAUGACGAUGUGGAGUUGGUGAAUCCUACCGUAAACUGUUGGACUUAUCGGCGCAAGAAGCAAGCAGCAAAUAUUCUAGAGUCUGGGGGAGGGGGGAGGUUAUUUUUUUUGUGUGUGUGUGUCAGGUUUUUAAAGAUUUUACCCUUGAAAACUCCCCAAACGAGAGAGAUCAAUAAAUUUUAUAACCGGCAUCUCAGUUGACUCCUGGCAAUUUUGUAACAGAUUGGGGGAGGGGGAGGCGGGGAGAGGGAGGCGGGUGAAGGGAUUGGGAAAGGCGUUCUGCGUUGGUCUCUGAAAGGUCCGAAGAGGCAACGCGUUCACUUCUAGAACUUUAGAGCGUUUGGGGGUGUCAUCUUUUAUCCAGUGUAUUAAGGGGAAACCGAGUCAGUCGACCACGACGUGUUGGACCGUUCUCCUGCAGGAGAGAGGAUAACCCUGUAUUCCCAACUCUCUUCAACUUUUAAUUUCCAAGGGGCCAUCGUUUGAAAGUCACAACGUGGGGACGCACCAUCUCCUUUGGGGGAAAAAAAAAAGCAACAAAAAAGCUCCUGCCAAGUCACCGGGGCUUCCAGCGGCGGUCCAAGGAAGAGGAAGAAGGGUCGGGAGCCGAGCUCAGCCAAGGGUCCACGGAGGCUGGUGUCUGUUGGCGAGAAAAGUCACCUCUGCUGUGAGGUCUCGGAGUUUUCGCCCGGCGAGAAACUUGAGCUGGGCUGAAAUAUUUGCAAAACUAAAACCUGUCGGGAAAUCUUAGACUAUUAAAAAGGAAUGGUUACGGGAAUCCUUAGGAGGAAAUCAAUUAUUUAAUCUCGUAACCGCGGUGGUCACACGAGGUUCGACAAGCUCCACGGAAUAGGAGUUUCGGCGCCUUUCGCAAUCUUUUUUUGUUGUUGGUUUGUUUUGAGACGUGUGUAAACUUCUCAAAGGUCUAUUUUUCUUUAACUUAACCGUACACCGUUCCGUCUUCCCUGAGGCCCACUCAUAUAAGCGCUUAGUACAGUGCUCUGCACACGGUAAGCGCUCAAUAAAUACUAUUGAAUGAAUAAAUAACCGUCCAGGGUUUAAGCCAUGCCGCUCCGCCGAUGGUUUCUACCAAUUAAUAUUUUGCCCGUUUGACAAUAUUCUCCAUCCUUCCCCCCCCCCCCCCCCCCCCCCACCUCAGUGGCGAUCAAUCUUUCGAAGUGAGAACGUAAGAUGCAGUCUUUUAAAAAGAUAAAUAAAUCGAUCGUCCCUCCCCAAACUAGCCGUUUGGGGACGAUUUCCUUAAUCCUUCUAAUCCUGUUACCUCGCUACCCCGAGUGAUUUAAACUCUGAUUUCGAAUGAGUCUGGACCAGUGAAAUAUUUCUAAUCCCCAGGACUGGGAGUCUGAAUCACUUGGCGGGUUUUUAA